ACAAGCAGCGGAGCGUGUGGUUUAAUUCGAUGCUACACGAAGAACCUUACCAGGGUUUGACAUGUUGGUGGUAGGAAUUCGAAAGAUGACGACCCUUCGGGAGCCUUCACAGGUGCUGCAUGGCUGUCGUCAGCUCGUGUCGUGAGAUGUUCGGUUAAGUCCGCUAACGAGCGCAACCCUCGCUGUGUGUUACAAGUGUCACACGGGACUGCCGGUAUCAAGCCGGAGGAAGUGGGAUGACGUCAAGUCAGCAUGGCCUUUAUGUCCUGGGCUACACACACGCUACAAUGGUCGACACAAUAGGUAGCCAAGCCGCGAGGUGGAGCCAAUCCUUAAAGUCGGCCUCAGUUCAGAUUGUAGGCUGCAACCCGCCUGCAUGAAGAUGGAGUUGCUAGUAACCGCAGGUCAGCAAUACUGCGGUGAAUACGUUCCCGGGUCUU
rnacentral:rRNA from 1 species